UUAGGCCCUGAUAUGGAAUGUGGGCAAACCAAGGGACACCUUAACUGCUGCCCAAAUGCCUGCUCUCAUGAAGCCUUUUUCCUUUUUUUCUUUCUUUUUUACAAUUUAUGCAACCCCAGGUAUUUUGUUAAAGCAAUGAUCAUAUGAAGAAUUUGAUUAAGAGUGAGGGAGAUUUUAAAGUGAAAUUCCUAAUAAAUCAAUUUUUAAUUUAAUUUAGAACAAAUAUAAACUGCUUGAUCUAGAUAUGUCACGGGAUAAUAAUGGGAUCUCAAAUCAAGCAUGGAAUGAACCCCUUCUACUCUCAACAUGUUUGCUAUGCCAGCCUCAUGCUGAAAAUGCCAUGAUUGAAAACAGGUCCUUUUUAUUCAUUCAACUUACUGUCACAAGCAGAGAAUGGCAGUGUGUGGGUCUUGGAUUCAGGUUUAAAAACAAAUUUUGGGACUGUCCAAUGACACACUUGGACAUAGAAAAGUAUAGCUGUGUAGACAGCAGCCCAGCAUCACGUACAGUGGGGCAUGGCCUCACUCUGAAAACUAUAUGGUGUCCUGUCACCACGGUAAUGUGCUGAGUGACAUCAGCCUUCCGUUCCAACUGUCACUCUGUGAGCUGAGAGGCUCACAGUUGAACGCAGUUGUGCUGUCCACAUCUUCACGGCCAGAGUGGUCUGAGAUGGGGAAUCACAACUGCUGCUCAGCAGUGCCCAAGGAGGAUGCAGAGGCGGAGCUUCCUGCUGACACAGCGGAUAAAGAAUCUCCACACACUGAGGUGACCGCAGUAGGAAUGACAAAUGAUUGGGCCUCACAGAGCAUUUCCAAGUCCUACAGUGAAGCUGAAGUCUCUUCAGAAGGCUAUGGGGCAGCACCUGAACUUUCCACUGGGUGUGGCAAUCGGGGGGUGUCCACAUGUUCCCUGGACGUGAACUAUCCCCAAAGACUUCAGGACAUGGAGGACCUUGACCAAGAAGAACAGGAAAUGGAAGCCAACAAAAUGGAGCCCAGAAGUGGAGAGGCUGCCGUCAGCCCUGAUCCAUCAAGUAGACACUAAUGGAUGUUCAGGAUCUACACAG
rnacentral:lncRNA from 1 species